ACAGAGGCCUCAAGCGUUAGGCGGAAUCACUGGGCUUAAAGCGUGUGUAGGCGGAUCGUUAAGUACCUUGUGUAAUCCCACGGCUCACCCGUGGAACUGCUGGGUAUACUGGCGGUCUUGGGCCAACUAGGGGCAGCUGGAACAAGCGGUGGAGCGGUGAAAUGCGUAGAUAUCGCUUGGAACGCCGAAGGUGAAAACAGGCUGCUGGGGUUGUGCCGACGCUGAGACACGAAAGCCAGGGGAGCAAACGGGA
rnacentral:rRNA from 1 species